UAAAUUGUCAAAUUUUCAUCCCAAUGAUGGGAGUGAAGGAAUGCUUGCUUUGCCUUAUGAUUCUGGGGUGGUUGAUGUGCAUGAUGCAAGAUUGCUUUAUGAAAAUGUGUUAAACAUGCUCAUUAAGUGGUCGACAGCUUUCAUUUUGAUUGUGGUCAUCAUUCUGUUGGGCUUUAUCUAUCUAGUGGGUAAAGAAAAGAUUGCUUCAGAGAAGCUGUCCAGUAGUAGCAG
rnacentral:misc_RNA from 1 species